AUUGAACGCUGGCGGCAGGCCUAACACAUGCAAGUCGAACGAGUGGCGGACGGGUGAGUAAUGUCUGGGAAACUGCCUGAUGGAGGGGGAUAACUACUGGAAACGGUAGCUAAUACCGCAUACCAUCAGAUGUGCCCAGAUGGGAUUAGCUUGUUGGUGGGGUAACGGCUCACCCAGGCGACGAUCCCUAGCUGGUCUGAGAGGAUGACCAGCCACACUGGAACUGAGACACGGUCCAGACUCCUACGGGAGGCAGCAGUGGGGAAUAUUGCAAAAUGGGCGGAAGGCUGAUGCAGGCAUGCCGCGGGGAUGAAGAAGGCCCUCGGGGUGUAAAGUACUUUCAGGGGGGAGGCGGUACCCGCAGAAGAAGCAACGGCUAAAUCCGUGCCAGGAGCCGCGGUAAUAA
rnacentral:rRNA from 1 species